UACGUAGGUGGCAAGCGUUGUCCGGAGUACUGGGCGUAAAGCGCACGCAGGCGGUCCUAUUAGUCUGGGGUGACAGUUCCCGGCUUAACCGGAAAAGGACUCUGGAAACUGUAGGACUUGAGGGCUUCAGAGGGAUGUGGAAUUCCAGGUGGAGUGGUGAAAUGCGUAGAGAUCUGGAAGAACACCAAAGGCGAAGGCAGCAUCCUGGGAAGUUCCUGACGCUCGGGUGCGAAAGCCAGGGGAGCGAACGG
rnacentral:rRNA from 1 species